ACUGCUCAGUAACACGUGGACAACCUGCCCUUAGGACGGGGAUAAACCCGGGAAACUGGGUAUAAUACCCGAUAGGUCUCGAUUGCUGGAAUGCAUCGAGAUUUAAAGCUCCGGCGCCUAAGGAUGGGUCUGCGGCCUAUCAGGUAGUAGUGGGUGUAGCGUACCUACUAGCCUACGACGGGUACGGGUUGUGAGAGCAAGAGCCCGGAGAUGGAUUCUGAGACACGAAUCCAGGCCCUACGGGGUGCAGCAGGCGCGAAAACUUUACAAUGCUGGCAACAGCGAUAAGGGAACCUCGAGUGCCAGGUUACAAAUCUGGCUGUCGAGAUGCCUAAAAAGCAUUUCAUAGCAAGGGCCGGGCAAGACCGGUGCCAGCCGCCGCGGUAACACCGGCGGCUCGAGUGGUAACCGUUAUUAUUGGGUCUAAAGGGUCUGUAGCCGGCCGGAUAAGUCUCUUGAGAAAUCUGGCAGCUUAACUGUCAGGCUUUCAGGAGAUACUGUCUGGCUCGAGGCCGGGAGAGGUGAGAGGUACUUCAGGGGUAGGGGUGAAAUCUUGUAAUCCUUGAAGGACCACCAGUGGCGAAGGCGUCUCACCAGAACGGACCUGACGGCAAGGGACGAAAGCUAGGGGCACGAACCGGAUUAGAUACCCGGGUAGUCCUAGCCGUAAACGAUACUCGCUAGGUGUCGGCCACGGUGCGACCGUUGUCGGUGCCGUAGGGAAGCCGUGAAGCGAGCCACCUGGGGAAGUACGGCCGCAAGGCUGAAACUUAAAGGAAUUGGCGGGGGAGCAC
rnacentral:rRNA from 2 species